AUUGAACGCUGGCGGCAGGCCUAACACAUGCAAGUCGAGCGAGCGGCGGACGGGUGAGUACUGUAUGGGGACUGCCCGAUCGAGGGGGAUAACUACUGGACACGGUAGCUAAUACCGCAUACUAUCGGAUAACCCAUAUGGGAUUAGCUAGUAGGGGAGGUAAGGGCUCACCUAGGCGACGAUCCCUAGCUGGUCUGAGAGGAUGAUCAGCCACACUGGGACUGAGACACGGCCCAGACUCCUACGGAGGCAGCAGUGGGGAAUAUUGCACAAUGGGCGCAAGCCUGAUCCAGCCAUCCCGCGUGUAUGAUGAAGGCCUUCGGGUUGUAAAGUACUUUUGGCAGAGAAGCGGUAUCUGCAGAAUAAGCACCGGCUAACUACGUGCCAGCAGCCGCGGUAAUAC
rnacentral:rRNA from 1 species